rnacentral:tRNA from 1 species
UGGGCUAUCGUCUAAUGGUAGGACAGCGGAUUCUGAUUCCGUCAGUCUUGGUUCGAGUCCAGGUAGCCCAGCCA